UUCGCAAUGCCCGAAAGGGUGACAAUGCGACGCCGCGUGAGCGAUGAAGGCCUUCGGGUUGUAAAGCUCUGUCAGCUCGGAUGAAAUCAGUAAAGUUAAUACCUUUACUGCUUGACGUUACGAGCAGAGGAAGCCACGGCUAACUCCGUGCCAGCAGCCGCGGUAAUACGGAGGUGGCAAGCGUUGUUCGGAUUUACUGGGUGUAAAGGUCAUGUAGGCGUCUUAUUAAGUCGGAUGUGAAAUCCCUUGGCUCAACCAAGGAACUGCAUUCGAUACUGAUAAGAUUGAGUACGGGAGAGGUAAGCGGAAUUCCGGAAGUAAGGGUGAAAUCUGUAGAUAUCCGGAAGAACACCAUUAGCGAAGGCGGCUUACUGGUCCGAUACUGACGCUGAAAUGAGAAAGCUAAGGGAGCAAACAGGAUUAGAUACCCUGGUAGUCUUAGCUGUAAACGAUGGGCACUAAGUAGAGGGGUUUU
rnacentral:rRNA from 1 species